AUUAAAAAGAGGGCUAUGCAAUGUGAAGUUUUUCAGUGCUUACUGAUCUGAUGUGGAGAGUGGGAAGGAGUUCAAAGACCCAAGAAUAAAACUCAACAUCAUAUUAUUAUGGUCUGAACAACUAGUGCCAUUCAAGAAUGUGGACUUCAUCCCACUAUUUUACACUGAAGAAAAAAGAGCUACAAAGAAUAAUGAUCCAUGAAUUCUACAGAGGGGCACAGUUCCUUGGCUGGACUGACUUUUCCUAUGAGGCAUGUGCAGUCAUCUAACUGGUGUGAGUCAGCUGAAUGUGGUGAAAGCAUAUAUUGUGGGAUGUGCUAUGCUUACCAUGGAAUACAGUGAGCAAAGGAGAGCAAAUAUGAGGGGAGCACAGGUCCCUGAACUGCAGGCACAGGUAAAUGAAGAACAAUGAAGAACUGUUGGAAUGAUUCACCUAAUAAGCGGGAAGAGCUGUUCCAUACUCUCAGGUUGUUUCAUGUCUGCUUACAUUAUUCAGAAACAUUUUACAUCUUCACCUUCUAAAUAGGCUGAAGCGGCAUUGUUCAGCUAG